rnacentral:rRNA from 1 species
UGGGCGUAAGGGCUCGCAGGCGGUUUCUUAAGUCUGAUGUGAAAGCCCCCGGCUCAACCGGGGAGGGUCAUUGGAAACUGGGGAACUUGAGUGCAGAAGAGGAGAGUGGAAUUCCACGUGUAGCGGUGAAAUGCGUAGAGAUGUGGAGGAACACCAGUGGCGAAGGCGACUCUCUGGUCUGUAACUGACGCUGAGGAGCGAAAGCGUGGGGAGCGAACAGGAUUAGAUACCCUGGUAGUCCACGCCGUAAACGAUGAGUGCUAAGUGUUAGGGGGUUUCCGCCCCUUAGUGCUGCAGCUAACGCAUUAAGCACUCCGCCUGGGGAGUACGGUCGCAAGACUGAAACUCAAAGGAAUUGACGGGGGCCCGCACAAGCGGUGGAGCAUGUGGUUUAAUUCGAAGCAACGCGAAGAACCUUACCAGGUCUUGACAUCCUCUGACAAUCCUAGAGAUAGGACGUCCCCUUCGGGGGCAGAGUGACAGGUGGUGCAUGGUUGUCGUCAGCUCGUGUCGUGAGAUGUUGGGUUAAGUCCCGCAACGAGCGCAACCCUUGAUCUUAGUUGCCAGCAUUCAGUUGGGCACUCUAAGGUGACUGCCGGUGACAAACCGGAGGAAGGUGGGGAUGACGUCAAAUCAUCAUGCCCCUUAUGACCUGGGCUACACACGUGCUACAAUGGACAGAACAAAGGGC